rnacentral:rRNA from 1 species
AUGCAAGUGCAGGUGGCCGCUACCAUACGAAUUUGUCUUAUGGAUCAGAUCAUGUAUCAUGUCAUGGACGAAGAUUCUCCUAAGGAAAUUUGGGACAAGUUGGCAAGUUGUUAUAUGUCCAAGUCGGCCAAUAAGUUGUAUCAAAAGCAAACGUUCUAUGGGCUGAAGAUGCAUGAGGGGGUGGAUCUUGUGGAGCAUGUGAAUGCCUUUAAUCAGUUGGUCACAUAUCAAGCGCGCCUAGCUGUGAAGAUUGAGAACGAGGAUAAGGCACUACUUAUUCUUUUUUCGUUGCCACCGUCCUAUGAGCAUUUGGUCAUUACAUUGAUACAUGGAAAGACAACCAUCAAUAAUGAGAAAGUCACUGCAGCAUUGCUUGGACAUGAGUUGAUGAAGUAA